rnacentral:lncRNA from 1 species
CGCUGGUGCUGGCCGCGGUGCGGCCGAAGGCUGUCCGAGGUAGGCUCCUCUCGGCUCUCCUAUGGAGAAGGCGGCGCUCACUGCAGUCCCGGAUGCACGAACUUCCCGCGGGACGUCGCCGGAGACGGUGGCUGUGUGCGCGCAGGAGCGAGCUGCCUGCGUGGGGGUCUGAGCGGGCACUCGGGUCGCGUCCCGGAGGGAGCCGCGUCGCCCGCCGGCCUGCGACGGCCCUAAGGGUGGAACUACUCUGCCAUGGUUAAAUACUUUAAAUGGGAAUAAAGGAUAGCAUUUCCAAGAAAAUGAGAAUGAAUAAAUCAUCUCUGUUUUUUAAAAGAAAGACCAUAUUAAACUUACAUGAACUCCGUAGAGUGGCAUGGUGAUGGUGGAGUAAAAGAGAGACGUGCUUGCAUCAAAGGAUGCAAAGUAACAAGUUUGAAGACUGCAUCAUCCUGCCUCCAGUACAAGCAGUUUCUCUGUUCGGUGAUCAAUGUCACUCACAGGAACUUAAGUAACUAACGAAAUGAGCCUGGGGCGUGGAAAAUAUGACUUUUAUAUUGGUCUUGGAUUGGCUAUGACCUCCAGCAUUUUCAUUGGAGGGAGUUUCAUUUUGAAAAAAAAAGGCCUUCUGCGACUUGCCAGAAAAGGCUCCAUGAGAGCAGGUCAAGGAGGCCAUGCAUAUCUUAAGGAAUGGUUAUGGUGGGCUGGACUGCUGUCA